AACAAACGCUGGCGGCGUGCCUAAUACAUGCAAGUCGAACGGGUAGCAAUACCAGUGGCGCACGGGUGAGGAAUACAUAGAUAAUCUGCCCUCGAGUCGGGGAUAACCAGUCGAAAGAUUGGCUAAUACCGGAUAAGACCACAGGAGCUGAGGCUCUAGGGGUUAAAGGUUUUUCGCUUGAAGAUGAGUCUAUGCGAGAUUAGCUAGUUGGUGAGGUAAUGGCCCACCAAGGCGACGAUCUCUAACUGGUCUUAGAGGAUGAUCAGUCACACUGGAACUGAGACACGGUCCAGACUCCUACGGGAGGCAGCAGUAGGGAAUAUUGCGCAAUGGGGGAAACCCUGACGCAGCGACGCCGCGUGAGUGAUGAAGGCCUUCGGGUCGUAAAGCUCUGUCGUAUGGAAUAACACAAUGAAUGUACCAUGCAAGAAAGGAUCGGCUAACUUCGUGCCAGCAGCCGCCGUAA
rnacentral:rRNA from 1 species